GUCAGCCGCCGCGGGAACACCGGCAGCUCUAGUGGUAGCUGUUUUAUUGGGCCUAAAGCGUUCGUAGCCGGUUUAAUAAGUCUCUGGUGAAAUCCUAUAGCUUAACUGUGGGAAUUGCUGGAGAUACUAUUAGACUUGGGAUCGGGAGAGGUCAGAGGUACUCCUGGGGUAGGGGUGAAAUCCUGUAAUCCUAGGAGGACCACCUGUGGCGAAGGCGUCUGACUAGAACGAAUCUGACGGUGAGGAACGAAAGCUAGGGGCGCGAACCGGAUUAGAUACCCGGGUAGUCCUAGCCGUAAACUAUGCGGACUUGGUGUGAGGGUGGCUUUGAGCCGUCCUGGUGCCGAAGGGAAGCUGUUAAGUCCGCCGCCUGGGAAGUACGGUCGCAAGACUGAAACUUAAAGGAAUUGGCGGGGAGCACCACAACGCGUGGAGCCUGCGGUUUAAUUGGAUUCAACGCCGGAGAUCUCACCAGCGGCGACAGCAGUAUGAUGACCAGGUUGAUGACUUUGUUUGACAAGCUGAGUGGAGGUGCAUGG
rnacentral:rRNA from 1 species